rnacentral:rRNA from 1 species
GCAUAGCCGUAAACAUUGAUUUAUAAUUUACUUAUUAUCCGCCUGGGAACUACAAGCACUAGCUUAAAACCCAAAGGACUUGGCGGUGCUUCAAAUCCACCUAGAGGAGCCUGUUCUAGAACCGAUGAUCCCCGUUAAACCUCACCCUCUCUCGUUUUAUCCGCCUGUAUACCUCCGUCGUCAGCUUACCCUAUGAAGGAUUAAUAGUGAGCAAAAUUGGUAUCAUAAAUUACAUGCCCAAAAAGUCAGGUCGAGGUGCAGUUUAUGAGAGGGAAGAAAUGGGCUACAUUCGUCUACUGACGAAAACGAAUGAUUAAUUGAAAACAUAAGUCUGAAGGAGGAUUUAGUAGUAAGAAGACAAUAGAGAGUUCUUCUGAAAGUGGCCCUGAAGCAUG